GCCAUCCGAAAUGCAGUAGCCUCCACGUCGGCGGAUAGCGGGCAACAGAAGAAAAAAUUCUGGCAAAUAGCUGCAA
rnacentral:ribozyme from 1 species